CCUACGUGAGGCAGCAGUGGGGAAUAUUGGACAAUGGGGGGAACCCUGAUCCAGCGACGCCGCGUGAGUGAAGAAGUAUUUCGGUAUGUAAAGCUCUGUCAGCAGGGAAGAAAGAAAUGACGGUACCUGACUAAGAAGCCCCGGCUAACUACGUGCCAGCAGCCGCGGUAAUACGUAGGGGGCAAGCGUUAUCCGGAUUUACUGGGUGUAAAGGGAGCGUAGACGGCGAUGCAAGUCUGAAGUGAAAGGCGGGGGCUCAACCCCCGGACUGCUUUGGAAACUGUAUGGCUGGAGUGCAGGAGAGGUAAGUGGAAUUCCUAGUGUAGCGGUGAAAUGCGUAGAUAUUAGGAGGAACACCAGUGGCGAAGGCGGCUUACUGGACUGUAACUGACGUUGAGGCUCGAAAGCGUGGGGAGCAAACAGGAUUAGAUACCCCUGUAGUC
rnacentral:rRNA from 1 species